GUGGGGAAUAUUGGACAAUGGGCGCAAGCCUGAUCCAGCCAUGCCGCGUGAGUGAUGAAGGCCUUAGGGUUGUAAAGCUCUUUCACCGAUGAAGAUAAUGACGGUAGUCGGAGAAGAAGCCCCGGCUAACUUCGUGCCAGCAGCCGCGGUAAUACGAAGGGGGCUAGCGUUGUUCGGAUUUACUGGGCGUAAAGCGCACGUAGGCGGUUUGUUAAGUCAGGGGUGAAAUCCCGGAGCUCAACUCCGGAACUGCCUUUGAUACUGGCAAGCUAGAGUCCGGAAGAGGUAAGUGGAACUCCUGGUGUAGAGGUGGAAUUCGUAGAUAUUAGGAAGAACACCAGUGGCGAAGGCGGCUCACUGGUCCGGUACUGACGCUGAGGUGCGAAAGCGUGGGGAGCAAACAGGAUUAGAAACCCGGGUAGUCC
rnacentral:rRNA from 1 species